GAGAGAACCAUUCUUUGAAGUUAAUGAAGUUAACAAGCUCUAACCGAGCCUGAAGCAAACUCAUUGACGACUGACGUCACUCAUUGUGGCUUUCCGGUUACCGCUAACAACUGUCUGGUGUUGAUUCUGUAAGACUGUAACAUAUGUUUUCAGUGUCCGUUUGUGGCUGGGUGGGAUUGCGUCGUUGCUCAUAACACCUGCCUGCAGAGGUUUCCUCUUUGUGUUGCCCCUUUCAUGCUCCAAAAGGAUUAUAAAAAUGAAGACUUGGUUAAUGCUAGUAUUUUUAGUGGCGCUGCUUCUUUUAGUAAGUGCUUUUGUUGGCAUGGGAACUUGGCACAUGGCCUAUGAAGAAGCUACAUUCCACGCAGCCCUUCGAGAACAGAAAACUUUGGAGGCAGGGAAGGCAUGGUGUAAUAAAUGUG